UACAGAGGGUGCGAGCGUUAAUCGGAAUUACUGGGCGUAAAGCGUGCGUAGACGGUUAUUUAAGUCGGGUGUGAAAGCCCCGGGCUCAACCUGGGAAUUGCAUUCGAUACUGAAUAGCUAGGGUACGGUAGAGGGAAGUGGAAUUUCCGGUGUAGCGGUGAAAUGCGUAGAUAUCGGAAGGAACAUCAGUGGCGAAAGCGACUUCCUGGACCAGUACCGACGUUCAGGCACGAAAGCGUGGGGAGCAAACAGG
rnacentral:rRNA from 1 species